CCUACGGGAGGCAGCAGUGAGGAAUAUUGGUCAAUGGGCGAGAGUCUGAACCAGCCAAGUAGCGUGAAGGAUGACUGCCCUAUGGGUUGUAAACUUCUUUUAUAUAGGAAUAAAAUGUUCCACGUGUGGGAUUUUGUAUGUACCAUAUGAAUAAGGAUCGGCUAACUCCGUGCCAGCAGCCGCGGUAAUACGGAGGAUCCGAGCGUUAUCCGGAUUUAUUGGGUUUAAAGGGAGCGUAGGUGGAUUGUUAAGUCAGUUGUGAAAGUUUGCGGCUCAACCGUAAAAUUGCAGUUGAUACUGGCAGUCUUGAGUACAGUAGAGGUGGGCGGAAUGCGUGGUGUAGCGGUGAAAUGCUUAGAUAUCACGAAGAACUCCGAUUGCGAAGGCAGCUUACUGGACUGCAACUGACAUUGAGGCUCGAAAGUGUGGGUAUCAAACAGGAUUAGAUACCCCGGUAGUC
rnacentral:rRNA from 1 species